GCCAGAAUCACACUGUGGUGGAGUAUAUUGAGCAGAAUCAUACGGUGGUGAAUUUUACUGACCAAAUUCAGAGACCUUGGAUGAUUAUUGUUAUCUUAUCUGGUCUGAUGCAUGGUGUUCUGGUCUGUGUGGUCAUUGGUGUAUGUUGCUACUCUGGAGAAAAAAUAAAAAGACAAGAAGAAGAUUUAGAGGGGACUCAGUUUAUGCCUCUGGAACUACUUCAAGAGCCAAAUGCAAUGUAUACUGAGGUGGUCUUUUCCUUGACGUGUGAAGAAUUUCUCCUGCAGCCCAAAUCAUAAACAGAAAAGCUUGUUCCUGACCUUAUA